CAGCCGCCGCGGUAACACCAGCCCCUCGAGUGGUGGGGACUAUUAUUUGGCCUAAAGCGUCCGUAGCUGGCUGUAUCCGUCUCCCGGUAAAUCCGGCGUCCUAAGCGUCGGUUCUCGGGUGAUACCAUACAGCUAGAGGGUGGGAUAGGUGAGCGGUAUUUCUGGAGUAGGGGCGAAAUCCUUUGAUCCCAGGAGGACCACCAGUGGCGAAGGCUGCUCACUAGAACACGCCUGACGGUCAGGGACGAAAGCUGGGGCAGCGAACCGGAUUAGAUACCCGGGUAGUCCCAGCUGUAAACGAUGCUAGCUAGGUGUUGGGUCGGCCAUGCGCCGCCCCAGUGCCGCAGGGAAGCCGUUAAGCUAGCCGCCUGGGGAGUACGGCCGCAAGGCUGAAACUUAAAGGAAUUGGCGGGGGAGCAC
rnacentral:rRNA from 1 species